rfam:Candidatus Burkholderia crenata strain TZHbot9 BCREchr_ctg347, whole genome shotgun sequence.
GUUGUCGCUAGGCGGGAUCUGAAGGAAGCGUGAAAGCCGCGACCUGACGAACAGAAAUCGGGUGUGAGGCCUACCCAGGCGGGCGAGCGAGCAAUGGAUCGUGAAGUCCAUAACCAUCAAGGGCUGGGGUGGUAAACCUAGCAGGUGUGCGGUGAAGGCGGU